rfam:Methylocystis sp. SC2 complete genome
GCUUCCCUACGGGAUGGGGCUCCCGGUAACCGCCUGAUGAGGCUGAUGGCUCCUGCCGCAAG